GUGAUCAACCAGUGUCCCAGUGUUGAAGACAUGAAAGACAGAUAGCCUGCUCUGUUUAGAAGCCUCUCAGGUGAGUCGGCAGGCAAAAAAAGAAAAUGCCAAAUGAUGUCUUCACUAUGACAAACCUCUUUGUUAUGAGCCUUGCUUGAUGAUAUUUCAGUAUUUGUCUUUCAGAUCAAUGAACAAUUCCACAGGCUCACCGCAAAGCAUCUUGAGGCAAGGUUUAUGCAGGACACCCCUAAGUUGCUGUCCUUAUUCCAUUCCAAGGGAGGAGUACUUUCAGACAGAUUGCGGGUCAUGCUGGAUGGAAGCUGAGGGGGGUCAUUUCCUGCAAGACCUUGCGCAACAUGUAAAUCAAAUCUAUGCGAUCAACAAGGAGGGUGCCGUGGCGAGUGAUGGUCCAGAGGAGGUCAGGAACGGUGUCCUCUACCACAGGCCCGCUUGUUGUUGGUGAAGCCGCCUGGG